rnacentral:rRNA from 1 species
CUCAGAGUGAACGCUGGCGGUAGGCCUAACACAUGCAAGUCGAACGGCAGCACAGUAAGAGCUUGCUCUUAUGGGUGGCGAGUGGCGGACGGGUGAGGAAUACAUCGGAAUCUACUUUUUCGUGGGGGAUAACGUAGGGAAACUUACGCUAAUACCGCAUACGACCUACGGGUGAAAGCAGGGGAUCUUCGGACCUUGCGCGAUUGAAUGAGCCGAUGUCGGAUUAGCUAGUUGGCGGGGUAAAGGCCCACCAAGGCGACGAUCCGUAGCUGGUCUGAGAGGAUGAUCAGCCACACUGGAACUGAGACACGGUCCAGACUCCUACGGGAGGCAGCAGUGGGGAAUAUUGGACAAUGGGCGCAAGCCUGAUCCAGCCAUACCGCGUGGGUGAAGAAGGCCUUCGGGUUGUAAAGCCCUUUUGUUGGGAAAGAAAUCCAGCCGGCUAAUACCUGGUUGGGAUGACGGUACCCAAAGAAUAAGCACCGGCUAACUUCGUGCCAGCAGCCGCGGUAAUACGAAGGGUGCAAGCGUUACUCGGAAUUACUGGGCGUAAAGCGUGCGUAGGUGGUUGUUUAAGUCUGUUGUGAAAGCCCUGGGCUCAACCUGGGAACUGCAGUGGAAACUGGACAACUAGAGUGUGGUAGAGGGUAGCGGAAUUCCCGGUGUAGCAGUGAAAUGCGUAGAGAUCGGGAGGAACAUCCAUGGCGAAGGCAGCUACCUGGACCAACACUGACACUGAGCACGAAAGCGU